rnacentral:rRNA from 1 species
CCUACGGGUGGCAGCAGUGGGGAAUAUUGCGCAAUGGGCGAAAGCCUGACGCAGCGACGCCGCGUGAGGGAUGAAGGUCUUCGGAUCGUAAACCUCUGUCAGCAGGGAAGAACGGUCACUGUGCUAAUCAGCAGUGAAUUGACGGUACCUGCAACGGCAGCACCGGCUAACUCCGUGCCAGCAGCCGCGGUAAUACGGAGGGUGCGAGCGUUAAUCGGAAUUACUGGGCGUAAAGCGCUCGUAGGCGGUAUGUCAAGUCAAGGGUGAAAUCCCCGCGCUCAACGUGGGAACUUCCUUUGAAAAUGGCAAACUGGAGUGUGUGAGAGGAUAGUGGAAUUCCAGGUGUAGGAGUGAAAUCCGUAGAUAUCUGGAGGAACAUCAGUGGCGAAGGCGACUAGCUGGAACAUAACUGACGCUGAGGAGCGAAAGCGUGGGUAGCAAACAGGAUUAGAUACCCUUGUAGUC